rnacentral:lncRNA from 1 species
UUGUUGUAAAAAAAACCUUUUCUUAUUUCAAAAUAAUUAUAUUCAACUCAUAAACACACGUUAUAACAAGUUGGAACUAUAUAAAAACACAUUAAAAUUAUCUACACAAGUGAAUAGCUCAUAGUGUCAUAUACAUAAAAUAUAAAGUUUGGAAAAUGUCCUCCUUGUCUAUAGUAGUUUGUAGUCUCUAGUAGUUUGUAGUCGCGGUUUGUAGUCGCUAGUAGUUUGUAGUCGCUAGUAGUUCACUUUCUCCAUAGAAUAAGCUUCAUUCAUAUAGGUAUUUGAGCUUUCUCCAUUUCCCGGUCGUGCCACAUUCCGCUGAAAACCUUUGUCAACAGUGCCAGUGGUAACUCUAUAUCCCCGACCUUUGCCGACGUAAUGUCUCAAGGUAAUCAGGAACAGGCUGCCGAUAAGCAAAAGAACACACACCAACACAAUCAAAGCGACAGAAAGGUCUUUCGUACUUGCAUCAAUGUGUGACAUCUUGGAUAUUACAAUAUCUGCAAAAAUGGCCAUAUUUUAGUAUUUGAUAUUGGCAAUUGGAUUCUUUUCUAUAUGUAUAGUAGGAGUUAGCUUUCACAAUUUGUCUACUUUGAUUGGAUUUUUGAAAAAGUUGAAUAAAUCGAAUAUGCUAAUAUAUCUAAUCUCUAAACUGAGUAGAUUUUGGCCACUUUUGCCUGAACCAAAGUCCAAAAAUGAAUAAAAAUGGCAAAAAGUAAAGGGUUUU